rnacentral:rRNA from 1 species
AACGAACGCUGGCGGCAUGCCUAACACAUGCAAGUCGAACGAACCCUUCGGGGUUAGUGGCGCACGGGUGCGUAACGCGUGGGAAUCUGCCCUUUGCUACGGAAUAACAGUUAGAAAUGACUGCUAAUACCGGAUGAUGUCUUCGGACCAAAGAUUUAUCGGCAAAGGAUGAGCCCGCGUAGGAUUAGGUAGUUGGUGGGGUAAAGGCCUACCAAGCCGACGAUCCUUAGCUGGUCUGAGAGGAUGAUCAGCCACACUGGGACUGAGACACGGCCCAGACUCCUACGGGAGGCAGCAGUGGGGAAUAUUGGACAAUGGACGCAAGUCUGAUCCAGCAAUGCCGCGUGAGUGAUGAAGGCCUUAGGGUUGUAAAGCUCUUUUACCAGGGAUGAUAAUGACAGUACCUGGAGAAUAAGCUCCGGCUAACUCCGUGCCAGCAGCCGCAGUAACAC